UAGUUAAUUUGUUCAGCAGCACAGGAGGUGCGAAAAUAAAGCAGUCACCAUCCACAAAAUGUUUUCAUAAUAUAAAUGAAGUUGAGAAGAUUUCAUUUCCAGACGUCCUGGUUACCGUGGUGAUAUGUGGCUUCCUCCCCACCCCUCCGGGUGUCUGUUAAAAUGCCAAACCCAAACGAAGAGAGAUCCAGCACUUGCUCAUGCUGUGAAUGCAGAUUUCGGCACACAGAUGGGAAGACUGCAUGAGAACAGUGGCAUAGCUACAACGAGAAAACAAACAAACAAACCCCAAAAAACCCAAACUUCCUUCUCUCCCCUGUAGGAUUUCAGUUGUUUU